CGUUCUACUCAUGUAAAAACACACAGAUUCCUGGAACGUCCACGGGCUGGAUUGAGGUGAUUGGGCCUCAUCCGGCCCCCGGGCCUUAGGUUACCUACUCCUGAUCUUAGCAGAUGCCACUUCUAAAUGCAUAACAGAAAAAGAUGUUAAUCUGUUUCAAAAGGGAUGACAGAGAGGGAGUCAAAUAGGCUAAAAGUUCUGGGGUUAAACAGAAAAAAGCUCUGCUUCAUGGAGGCCAACUUGAUUUCUAUAUAUUAUACUUUCAGCAGUAGACCUUAAAUUGGUGGUGUUCAUAUGGAAACAGAUUCCCCAUGGGAGAAUCUGGACCUAAACCAUUUAUGGUUCUUUAGGUCAAAAACAGAACCCUGAACUGAGCUCAUUAACCAGGGGUGGCUGACAUUUGGUGCUCAACAUGUGGGACUACAGCUGACUACAGGGCAUAUUGGCUGGGGCUGAGGGAAGUUGGAGCCCCAACAUCUGGAAUGACACAGGUUAGCCCUGCCUAGGUUAACAACCAAUGCAGAUUCUCUAAGGAGGUGUAAUGCGACUGUGGCACGUUGCGUCUGCCAAUAGUCAGGCAGCAGCAUUCUGCUCUAGCUUAAGUUUUCAGACUUGCUUCAAGGGCAGUAACUGGAAAGCAGGCACAUCCGUCACCUCACCCACGUUUCCUUCUGUCAACAAAGUAGCAUGGGCCAUGGGACAUUUCCAUGGAGACAGGGAGAUGAGGAACAAAAGAUUGACUUAGAAGCCUGACAUGACUGAGGAGUGCAGAAGGGUUAUGUGUGUGACACGAUCACAGCAAAGAAUGUUUAAUUAAGCAAGGGUGACACGAACAAUCACUAGGAGUUAGAAUACGGCAGGGAAGCAGGGAUCAGUCUAUUUCUGGCCUGUGUCAGUUUCACAUAACCAUUUCCCCCUCUUUUGGCAUUAAUCUGCAACUUAUUUUCAGAUCUUGACAAAAAUUAAUAUUUAAAUAAGUAUUUCAUCUAGAUAUAUUUUAUCCCAAAAUAUGAAUUUUGGUACAUGUUUUGAGCUGAUAACUGUAUAAUAAAAUUUGGACCAGGGCGAAAGCCAAAAGAUGAUUCUUUUCCAAUCAGUGUACUGUAUUUGUCUGGGAGGUGCAAAUCUUUUGCUUAAAGAUAUGGACCAAAUAUAGUUCUCCUUCAAGGAAUAGCUAUGGUAGUCUUCUUCACCAUACAGCACAAAAAAAUGGUUUCUAAAUCAGGUUUUAAAAAUUGUGGUUUUGGGGUGUGUGUUUUUUUAAAGUACGUAGAAAGUCAAUAUUUUUUAAGUUGAGGUGGAGAACACUUUUGCCCUCCAAAUGUGGCUGAGCUACAGCUGCCACAAUCCUUGGCCAUGCUUGUUGAUGCUGAUGCAACAUCUGGAGGGCCAAAGUUUUUCCCAUCCUUGCUCUAAGUCAACCAAUACAACUGCCAACCUGCCUUCAAAUCUCUCCUAUUUGGCUAUCAUUUUUAAAAUAUAUAUAUAUAAUAGCCUUUGCAUGAAGUUACCACAAAGUUUGAAUACAAGCGAAAACCCCACACUUGGAGAUUAGAGUUCAAAAUCUCCUGGUCACACUGAGCACAAGAAGGGAUGAGCUUGCGAUGGGCAGUGGAAAAUUUGAUUAUAUACGAACCAAGAAACAUAACACACACUAACACACAAAUGGCAAUUUUAUACCUGCGCUCUGUAAUGUUUUCUAUGUGAUGUGGUCUUUCCUAAAUGUAGAACUCUUGUAUUUUUCUGUGGGUUUAUAUGCAGCAGGACUGACAGCUUUGAGGGUGCACGCUCAAUUUUGUAUAAACAUUCUUGACAAGUUUUUUCUCCUCUUUCCAAAGGAGACAAGAUGGAUUAAAAAAAAAGUUAAUGUCUCUCCAUUUGGCUUGUUAAAUGCAUGUACAGUAUUUGGGCAGCAAGUAAAGACAAUUAAAGCCAGUUUUGAAAACUGUU